GGCUUCGCAGCUUAGCUGGCAGAGCGCUUGUCGCGUUUGGGUGUUUCUGUUACUGAUUCGAAUCCAGUCGGAGCCC